rnacentral:tRNA from 1 species
GCCCCAGUAGCUCAGCGGAUAGAGCAGCUGCCUUCUAAGCAGCUGGCCCCAGGUUCGAUUCCUGGCUGGGGCG